GACGAACGCUGGCGGCGUGCCUAAUACAUGCAAGUAGAACGCACAGUUUAUACCGUAGCUUGCUACACCAUAGACUGUGAGUUGCGAACGGGUGAGUAACGCGUAGGUAACCUGCCUGGUAGCGGGGGAUAACUAUUGGAAACGAUAGCUAAUACCGCAUAAUAUUGAUUAUUGCAUGAUAAUUAAUUGAAAGGUGCAAUUGCACCACUACCAGAUGGACCUGCGUUGUAUUAGCUAGUAGGUGAGGUAACGGCUCACCUAGGCGACGAUACAUAGCCGGCCUGAGAGGGUGAUCGGCCAAAAUGGGACUGAGACACGGCCCAGACCUCUACGGGGGGCAGCAGGAGGGGAUCUUCGGCAAUGGACGAAAGUCUGACCGAGCAACGCCGCGUGAGUGAAGAAGGGUUUCGGAUCGGAAAGCUCUGUUGUAAGAGAAGAACGGGUGUGAGAGUGGAAAGUUCACACUGUGACGGUAGCUGAACAGAAAGGGACGGCUAACUACGUG
rnacentral:rRNA from 1 species